AAGAAAUUAGUUAAAUAAUUAUAACAUUAAUAUGUCAUAUUAAAAUUAUUAAUAAUUAAUAUUUUUUU
rnacentral:tRNA from 1 species